ensembl:lncRNA
GGGAGAGGGAGAGAGGGGGUUGGAGGGAGAGGGAGAGAGGGGGAGGGAGUUGGAGGGAGAGGGAGAGAGGGGGUUGGAGGGAGAGGGAGAGAGGGAGGGGGUUGGAGGGAGAGGGAGAGAGGGGGUUGGAGGGAGAGAGAGAGGGGGGGUUGGAGGGAGAGGGAGAGAGGGGGUUGGAGGGAGAGGGAGAGAGGGGGUUGGAGGGAGAGGGAGAGAGAGAGAGAGUUGGAGGGAGAGGGAGAGAGGGGGUUGGAGGGAGAGGGAAAGAGGGGUUGGAGGGAGAGGGAGAGAGGGGGUUGGAGGGAGAGAGAGAGAUGCGUUCACAGUUACCCGAUGAACAAUUAAUAAGCUAAUUACAGUACAUCAAUAGGAUCUUGACUCCCCC